GUGUAUGGCCAUACCACCCUGAAUGUGCCCGAUCUCAUCUUAUCUUGGAAGCUAAACAGGGUUUAGCCUGGUUAAUACUUGGAUGGGAGACUAUAGAUA
rnacentral:rRNA from 1 species